rnacentral:rRNA from 1 species
CCGCAUAGGUCUUCGAGCCGCAUGGCUUGAAGAGGAAAAGAGGCGCAAGCUUCUGCUGAUGGAUGGACCCGCGGUGCAUUAGCUAGUUGGUGAGGUAACGGCUCACCAAGGCCGUGAUGCAUAGCCGACCUGAGAGGGUGAUCGGCCACAUUGGGACUGAGACACGGCCCAAACUCCUACGGGAGGCAGCAGUAGGGAAUCUUCCGCAAUGGACGCAAGUCUGACGGAGCAACGCCGCGUGAGUGAAGAAGGUUUUCGGAUCGUAAAACUCUGUUGUUAGAGAAGAACAAGUGCUAGAGUAACUGUUAGCGCCUUGACG